rnacentral:lncRNA from 1 species
AGGUAUAGGUGUUUGUAAGACAAGUUAUAUACGUACAAUAACAAGUUAAACUUGUCCCUAUGCAUGGCUACGUGGUCAAACAUAUCUAUCGCUACUCUAGAGGCAUAGUAAAAUAGCAGAAGAGCUGUUUCUUCACUGUUACUGUUUCUUUCUUCAUAGGAAGAAGAAAAUGCCCAUGAAUUUAGCCUUACUCCAAGCCCUAUAUACAUUACCGUGCACCCUAACAGCUCUUUUCUCCCUAUAUAUAUGUGUGUGUGUGUGUGUGUAUGUACAACCCACCGUCUUCCCAUCGAUAGAAACUUGCAGAUUUUAUUCACAAGCACAGAGAAAAGUAGAAUUAACAGCCACAGCGAUCAUUACCAACUAUAUAUCCUUAACCAUAUAGUUAAGGGUACUUAUAU